CCGCCCCCUACGUCCUGCUCUAUUGCGGCCUCCUUGCCGCCCCACCAGCCCCGCAUCCUGCGCUACCACCGCGAUCUUGCACUGUCUCCCCGUCCCCGAAUUCCGGCCCCCGAUACGCGGAGUGCUCAAGGCGAUUGGCCGGUCUGCUCGUUGGGCUGGAACUAGAGCACGAUGCCCCACCUCGUCACAUGUUUUGUUGCCUUGCCGACAUCCUAGAUGUCGCCCGCUUCAUCCUUGAUGAGCGGAGAGGUGAACUUGGCAUCAGCCGUAGGGCGGAACGCGGAUCCGAGCGGAAGGUGGGUCGACGGCGGAGGAGGGGUUGAAGAUCUUGAGAGAGCCCCGGGGGUUAUGCGGCAGCUGCUGCUUCGGCUGAUGAGGUUCGUCAUGGCCGCCGCCUACUGCAUCUGCACAAACCCGCUGCCGCCACGUAACCAGGUACAUCGACAGAAAUUAAAGAAGCGUUUUCCCCCAAAAUCGUUGAUCCAACAACUACAAAUCGAGCGGAAAUUAUUGGUCUACUGCGGAUUGUUCAUUCAGGAAUUGGUAUAUCACUGAACUGAAUUGAAUCCAGUAGCCAAAACGUACAACAGUGGAGUUCUAAUCAACAGAGACUACUUCCAAAUGACUGAGAAAAACGAGUUUUUUUUUUGAGUGAUCACCGGGGGGGGGAGCGAAAAGCUCCCGCCUGAAUUUUCCAUUUCAUCAGAGAUUUUGGUGGAGCCCCGUUUUUGUGGUGACAGCAGAUUUUACAGGGGGGAGGGAGACAGCACCCAACGCCACCAGUCAAGGGGGGAGUGAGCUCAAAACAAAAGCCAAAGAGUGAGAAAAACGAGUUGGUUUUCUUCAUCUGUCUCUGGCUGCAGUGGAUUGAAUUUAAAGCUACAGUUCUAUAAACUGAAAUUCGAUUAAUUUGUAGUGAAACUUAUGUUUAUAUUUGAUCAUAUGCUACUGUUUCCCGUCCUCUCGGCAUCAUUAUAAUUUUAUGUGGAGUAACUUUUAUGUUAUAUGGAUAAAUUGAUUAGUAGAAUUUAAUAUUGAUAGUGUCAUAUCAUGGAGAUGUCUUCUACAUAGAUUGUCGUUUCUUUCUUUCAUUCUUGAUUCCAUAACAUUUAUCAUUUAUCAUUCAUCUGUUAAGUGAUUGGCAUUGCAUGUCCACCAUUGGCAGUGGCAUAAGGGGAAGGCGGGAGCGGAAGUGUAGGUGGGUUGUGCUACGUGCAACAACAAGGUUUCCUUUUUGAAUAAGUUGAUGGUUGAUGAUACUGCUGGAUAUGGUGGUUGAUGAUCAUGCUAUCAAGAUGAAGCUUUGAAUUUGAGAUCAGAUUUAGAGUUUGGGAAAAUGAGACGAUUGGCAAUGACGGGGUCAUCAAGAUCAAGCCACCCACCGUCGAGGUUGUGGACGCUGCCGCAUUGUUCUAGGUUCGGUCUCUUCCUCCUGGAACCCCCCGAUGGAACGCCCAGAUCUGGCAUCUCGCUGCCACAAUUACGUCUGCAGGGAAAGACCAUGGAGGAAGAUUACUCAGAAGCACCAGCGCCACAACUUCCUAUGGACAUCAUGCACGUAUCUGAGCUAGCCCCCUUGCCUGCCUUGCUUCAUCUUGCAAGUUCUGGCACGAUCUCAUCGAGGACCCGAUCUUGAUAAAUGGUUAGUUCUAUAUAUAACCAUCAUGCGUGCGUGUUUACAUUUAUCUCUAUUGGGGACACUCUUUCUUUAAGCAGUACCAUCUCUGAGGUUAGCUCUCACUUAUAUUUGCACUGAGGAUGAUACUCAAAUAUCUUCCGAUUGGACAAGGCCUUGCUACUAGCUUAUGCACAAUAUUUAUUGUUAACCUUUGUUCUGUCAAUUCAUGUUGUGUUUAUCAUUUAUCUUGGUUCUUAUCCACUCUCGUGUAUGUACUUGUGCUUUCUUUUUAAGUAGUGGGGAUCUUCCUACUGAUUCCCUCUAAAAAAGGAGAAUUAGGCGAAAAAGGAAUCAUGGAUGAUAGUUGUGUUAAGAUAGCCCGGGAGAAGUUCUAUUAUAUUCUCUAGAUACCAGGUACAACCAUACAAGGGGUGUUUAAGAAACUAAGCUUCUCUUGCAUUUACUACAUGUAGACAUGAGCAUAAAAAAACUUAGUGUUAAAAAUUGAGAUUGCAUCAGCUGUUGCAUGAUGAUUCAUCUGUUAAUCGUCCAGGUGUACUGCCAAUAUUGGUGCAUGUGCUGCAUCUCAGGUAAUCAUGGUUUCAUUUUCAAGGUAUUGAAUAUUUGCUGACUUCUUGGUUUUCUUGCUCCUUUCUACGACGCCUGCAAUAUAAAAUUAACAUUAGUUGAAUCAAUGCUCAAAACUUAUAUGUUUAUUUGUAAGGAAUAUCUUGUGCACAUCAAGUUACGACAAGAUAAGAUUCUUUCGACUGUUCUCAUAACAUAAUUAUUCUUCCAAUAUUUUUUUGAUGCCAGUUGUUGCUGUUCUGAAAAUGCUAAAAAUGCUUGGCAGUUCCAAUGUUACUUAUGACAUUGUUUACCUUUUGAAAUCCUUAAAUUACAUAAGCCUUUUCGUGCAAUUUUCUCAUACCCCACCAAUUCAAUUCCAGUAUGACUUAGCCAUAGAGGACCAUCAAUUCUUUCUCUAGCUUCAUGCUCUGAGUUAUAUUUAUAAUGGUAUGCUACUUUCUUUUUCCAAUUCAAAUCUGAGUUAGUAUACUAUUUUCCAUUAUUGCGCUAUAAUCUUUCAUGAUUACCUAGGGUUAUUUAUUUUUGUAACACUCUAAAAACUAUUGAUGCUUUGUUGCGGUCCAGUAGGUGCAUACAUAAUUUGGAGUCGCGCUCACACAUAAAUUUCAAUGUAGUGCUAAGUGCUAACUCGAUAAUCAGGGCCACCAUAUUUAUUGAAAAUUGUCCUUUGUCCUCCAUGAGUUAUCUAUCUGUGUUAGCAAUUUUCCUUGGCUAUUGACUUCCAUCAGACAUGAAGCAUGUUUGGCUCUCCGGGUGUAAGAACUUUUAUAGUUUUAUGGGGAAGAUGGCGGCCAUGGAAGCUGCACUGAAGUUGAUGGAUUUUAAAGGGAGAGAAAUAUGCACUGACGCCAUCGGUUUACAUUUCUCGCUGAGAUCGUGCGGGAGAGGAAGAGAGCGCGGCGUCAUGGAAUUAAUAGCGAAGAUGGAGAGCCAGGCAGUGUAGAGGUGGAUGGAGAAGACAAACAGCCUUGGGCCAGUACAUCACGUGAUCAUCAAUGAAGAUGGAGGAUGGAUGCAUAUGUGGGCUGAAGUAAUGGGAUGGCCUGCUAUUGACUUCUUUUGCUAAAUGCCUUUAUUGUGUGUUUCAUCGACUGAAACAGAAAAAAGUGAGCAAGAAAAAUGGGAGAUUAUUGCUGACGUGGCAAAUGUGACGAAAUGACGUGGACCUGAAACUGAAAAAAUGAUGUGGCAUGCUUGCAUGUUGAGGAAAAUCAACUUAGUGGGUUGCUCCUAUUUAGAUACUAGAUAAUUCCCCGCGCGGUGCUGCGGGCAUGUAUGUGUAUCUUUUCU